UUCAAAUUGGGUCUGCUUCAAAGACAUAUUUUGCCACCGCUUUAUCUGUUUCUGGUGGCUCAUGAAAUUCUUCACCAGAGGUGAUUACAUUUUCCUGUUAGGUGCUUUCUCGCAGUCUUAAUAUGUACAAAGGUUAUAAGUGGUAUUUGCUAAAUUCUGCAAGGCACAAUAGCAAACCAAGGGCUCACUCACUCUAGUUGCCACUAGCAACGGCGGUUCUCUCCUAUUCAGUUGCUUGAUUAUUGAGCGUGAUUGUAGAGGAGCCUUGGCUAAAAUAGGAUACUCAAAGGGAGGAUUUUGUAGCCGUUACAGCAGAGUAUUGGAACUCUCAGAGCAAGAAUACCGAGUACCCAAUUCCCAGAGGAGCAAUUAAUAUUCCCCAGAUUACCGCUCUUUCGAACCGUGGAAAGGUUCCUUGUAUUAUUGCUCAUUGCCUUUCCCGUGAUUUACUUUCUGAUGCGAAGCCGUAGCGACGCUGACUAAUAACAUUCUUGGUCUUUACAGUAACUCAAUUCUGACCAGUCCGGUCUCCCAUGUAUUUAUUGAAAAAGAUCAACAACGUUCAAGGAGGAAAGCCAUGCAAAAGGGUUUCACACUCGCAGCAGUAAGGAACAAUAAAAAUAGGAGAGAGAGAGAGAGAGAGAGAGAGAGAGAGAGAGAGAGAUGGCAGCAAAAAAGUGAAAGAAGAUAGAAUCAGCCAAUUACCAGAUUGUCUUCUUCAUCGUAUCUUCUCUUUUAUGCAAACAAGUGAUGUUGUUCAAAAUUGUACUUCGUCCAAAAGAUGGAGGUUCUCUCCGGAAUUUCUGGUCCACUGAAUGAGAAUCCGUCACCCUUUUCCAAUUUGAAGCAUCUGAAGUUGAAGAUGUUGUCCAAGAAUGUUAGUAUACCUACCUCUGUCGUAUAAUACUUUCUGAAGAGCGGUGGAGUUUAUCAAUUUCAGGUAUCUGAAAGUUGAAGACUGGACAGUAAAUCAGCAGCUGCAGCAAGAAUUGAGAGCAGCAGUAGCAGAAUAGCUUUUCUAACAGCUUAAUUAGUUAUUUAGUUGUUAGCUUAAUCUAAAAAGAAUUGAUUUUUAUAAACACUCGUGGCAGUCUAAGCAAACGACACAUGUGAAAAGUACAAGUAAAGUGGUACAUGCUUUUUUAUUGCAAGAGUGGAUCAGUGAUGUGGAAUGCAAAAUAAAGAUUCUUUUUUUUUAAGGAAAAAAAAGAAAGAAUAUUAUUUGAUGAUAAUAACUAUGGUAAAAUGCGAUUUUAUUAUGCUGUGAUAGAAAUAAUGCGAUUCUGUUCAAGUGAAUUUGGACGGCUUAUUAUAA